CUUCGCUGACGAGUGGCGGACGGGUGAGUAAUGUCUGGGAAACUGCCUGAUGGAGGGGGAUAACUACUGGAAACGGUAGCUAAUACCGCAUAACGUCGCAAGACCAAAGAGGGGGACCUUCGGGCCUCUUGCCAUCGGAUGUGCCCAGAUGGGAUUAGCUUGUUGGUGGGGUAACGGCUCACCAAGGCGACGAUCCCUAGCUGGUCUGAGAGGAUGACCAGCCACACUGGAACUGAGACACGGUCCAGACUCCUACGGGAGGCAGCAGUGGGGAAUAUUGCACAAUGGGCGCAAGCCUGAUGCAGCCAUGCCGCGUGUAUGAAGAAGGCCUUCGGGUUGUAAAGUACUUUCAGCGGGGAGGAAGGGAGUAAAGUUAAUACCUUUGCUCAUUGACGUUACCCGCAGAAGAAGCACCGGCUAACUCCGUGCCAGCAGCCGCGGUAAUACGGAGGGUGCAAGCGUUAAUCGGAAUUACUGGGCGUAAAGCGCACGCAGGCGGUUUGUUAAGUCAGAUGUGAAAUCCCCGGGCUCAACCUGGGAACUGCAUCUGAUACUGGCAAGCUUGAGUCUCGUAGAGGGGGGUAGAAUUCCAGGUGUAGCGGUGAAAUGCGUAGAGAUCUGGAGGAAUACCGGUGGCGAAGGCGGCCCCCUGGACGAAGACUGACGCUCAGGUGCGAAAGCGUGGGGAGCAAACAGGAUUAGAUACCCUGGUAGUCCACGCCGUAAACGAUGUCGACUUGGAGGUUGUGCCCUUGAGGCGUGGCUUCCGGAGCUAACGCGUUAAGUCGACCGCCUGGGGAGUACGGCCGCAAGGUUAAAACUCAAAUGAAUUGACGGGGGCCCGCACAAGCGGUGGAGCAUGUGGUUUAAUUCGAUGCAACGCGAAGAACCUUACCUGGUCUUGACAUCCACAGAACUUUCCAGAGAUGGAUUGGUGCCUUCGGGAACUGUGAGACAGGUGCUGCAUGGCUGUCGUCAGCUCGUGUUGUGAAAUGUUGGGUUAAGUCCCGCAACGAGCGCAACCCUUAUCCUUUGUUGCCAGCGGUCCGGCCGGGAACUCAAAGGAGACUGCCAGUGAUAAACUGGAGGAAGGUGGGGAUGACGUCAAGUCAUCAUGGCCCUUACGACCAGGGCUACACACGUGCUACAAUGGCGCAUACAAAGAGAAGCGACCUCGCGAGAGCAAGCGGACCUCAUAAAGUGCGUCGUAGUCCGGAUUGGAGUCUGCAACUCGACUCCAUGAAGUCGGAAUCGCUAGUAAUCGUGGAUCAGAAUGCCACGGUGAAUACGUUCCCGGGCCUUGUACACACCGCCCGUCACACCAUGGGAGUGGGUUGCAAAAGAAGUAGGUAGCUUAACCUUCGGGAGGGCGCUUACCACUUUGUGAUUCAUGACUGGGGUGAAGUCGUAACAAGGUAACCGUAGGGGAACCUGCGGUUGGAUCACCUCCUUACCUUAAAGAAGC
rnacentral:rRNA from 1 species